rnacentral:rRNA from 1 species
GAUGAACGCUGGCGGCGUGCCUAAUACAUGCAAGUCGAACGAAGCGGGGACGGGUGAGUAACACGUGGAUAACCUCCUAUAAGACUGGGAUAACUUCGGGAAACCGGACCUAAACAGGAUACUUCUAGAUGGCUCCGUGCUGCAUUAGCUAGUUGGUAAGUGAACGGCUUACCAAGGCAACGAUGCAUGGCCGACCUGAGAGGGUGAGCGGCCAAACUGGAACUGAGACACGGUCCAGAAGCCUACGUGAGGCAGCAGUAGGGAAUCUGCCGCAAUGGGCGAAAGCCUGACGGAGCAACGCCGCGUGAGUGAUGAAGGUCUUCGGAUCGUAAAACUCUGUUAUUAGGGAAGCGGUACCUAAUCAGAAAGCCCCGGCUAACUACGUGCCAGCAGCCGCGGUAAUUC